rnacentral:rRNA from 1 species
GACGAACGCUGGCGGCGUGCUUAACACAUGCAAGUCGAACGGAAAGGCCCUGCUUUUGUGGGUUGCUCGAGUGGCGAACGGGUGUGUAACCCGUGAGUAACCUGCCCUUGUCUUUGGGAUAUCUUCAGGUAACUGGGGCUACUACCGGCUAGGAGCUCCUGCUGCAUGGUGGGGGUUGGAACGUUUCGGCGGUUGGGGAUGGACUUGCGGCUUAUCAGCUUGUUGGUGGGGUAGUGGCUUACCAAGGCUUUGACGGGUAGCCGGCCUGAGAGGGUGACCGGCGACAAGGGGACUGAGAUACGGACCAGACUCCAACGGGAGGCAGCAGGGGGGAAGAGAGCACAAUGGGAGGAAGCGUGAUGCAGCAACGCCGCGUGCGGGAAGACGGGCUGCGGGUUGAAAACCGAAGUCGCAUGAGACGAAGCGAGAGUGACGGUAAUGGGUAAAGAAGCACCGGCUAACUACGUG